rnacentral:rRNA from 1 species
CUGUCCUAACGGAUGGCUAAUACCGCAUAUGUUCCCGGCGUCAAGUCGGGAGUAAAGCCUUCGGGCGCUUGGAGAUGGGCCUGCGGCGGAUUAGCUAGUUGGUGGGGUAACGGCCUACCAAGGCGAUGAUCCGUAGGGGGCGUGAGAGCGUGGCCCCCCACACUGGCACUGAGAUACGGGCCAGACUCCUACGGGAGGCAGCAGUGAGGAAUAUUGCACAAUGGGCGCAAGCCUGAUGCAGCAACGCCGCGUGCGGGACGAAGGCCUUCGGGUCGUAAACCGCUUUUCUGGGGAAAGAGCAAGGACGGUACCUCAGGAAUAAGUCUCGGCUAACUACGUGCCAGCAGCCGCGGUAAAACGUAGGAGGCGAGCGUUAUCCGGAUUUACUGGGCGUAAAGCGCACGCAGGCGGCUCCGUGAGUCGGACGUGAAAGCUCUCGGCUUAACCGGGAGAGGCCGUUCGAUACUGCGGGGCUUGAGGUAGGGAGAGGAAUGCGGAAUUCCCGGUGUAGUGGUGGAAUGCGUAGAUAUCGGGAAGAACACCUGUGGCGAAAGCGGCAUUCUGGCCCUCACCUGACGCUGAGGUGCGAAAGCGUGGGUAGCAAACAGGAUUAGAUACCCUGGUAGUCCACGCCGUAAACGAUGUCAACUGGGUGUCGGUAGUUUUACACUAGCGGUGCCGAAGCUAACGCG